ensembl:lncRNA
AAUCUAUAGAAUAAUUUAACUAUAUAUUGGAGCAUCUGUAACCCCUUCUUUUAAACAUAAAUUUGCGACUACAAACUUGCUAAAAUAUCUUGAUACAGCAGACAGAACACACAUUCCGUUUUUGUUGUCCUAGCUACUAGAUUUACCAAACCUGGCUAAACGAGAGGUAUUUUCGCAUCAUUUUCCCAGAAAUGUCGCCUGUCGCUGGUGUGACGUCAGAUCACUCUUAAAGCCCCCACGUUAUCUAUUCACUUUAUUCAGAUCAUCUAAAAAAAUUUAGUAUCCGACCAGAUCUCUCCACAGGUUUUCAAUAGGAUUUAGAUCUGGCCACUUCACAACAGUCCAGCGUUUUGUCUUGAACCAUUCCUGGGUGAUCUUUUAAGUAUGCUUGGGAUCAUUGUCCUACUGAAAAUUCCAUGACCUUCAACAGAAACAUAGCUUUUUGAUACUGGGUUAAACAUUGAGCUGCAAAAUGCCUUGGUUUUUUUAUUUGGUCUCAUCUGUCCACAGGAGAUUGCCCCAAAAGGAUUGUGGAAUGUUCAGGUGUGUUUUGGCAAAUUCCAGUCAGGCUUUCUUACAACUCUCUUUUGGCAGUGGGUGUCCUACCAUACCACAACACCCUUAACUGAGUUGGUGAUGGAUGGAUCAAGUUUAAGCUAUUGUACCAGUCCCAAGGCGUCACCUCCUUCCAGUCCUCCAUCUUCUCUGGAUCCCUGUGCCGUGCAGGCUGUUGCAUUUCUAUGUUCAGUGUCUUUUGUUUCAGUUUCUAUGUUCUUUGAUUGGUUUCACCACCGUCUAGUUUUUGGCCCUCGUUAUGUCCCUGUUCAAGUUCCUUCAUUCCUAGUCUUUCUUGUCAGUCAUUGUUUCAUGUGCCGUUCCUGCCCGAGUCCUUGUUUAUUGCAGUCUGUUUAUUAAAAUAACCGUUUGUCUGAACACCUCUGUGCCUAUGACCUGCAACUGCCUCCUGAACAAUGUUACACUUUUCUUUCUCAAAAAUGCUGCGAUGUCACUU